AUAACUAUGAUAUGACAGCAGGUAUUGUG
rnacentral:piRNA from 1 species